rnacentral:rRNA from 1 species
CAAUCUAAGUGAAGUUUUCGGAUGGAUCUUAGAUUGACUGAGCGGCGGACGGGUGAGUAACGCGUGGAUAACCUGCCUCACACAGGGGGAUAACAGUUAGAAAUGACUGCUAAUACCGCAUAAGCGCACGGCAUCGCAUGAUGCAGUGUGAAAAACUCCGGUGGUGUGAGAUGGAUCCGCGUCUGAUUAGGUAGUUGGUGGGGUAACGGCCCACCAAGCCGACGAUCAGUAGCCGACCUGAGAGGGUGACCGGCCACAUUGGGACUGAGACACGGCCCAAACUCCUACGGGAGGCAGCAGUGGGGAAUAUUGCACAAUGGGCGAAAGCCUGAUGCAGCGACGCCGCGUGAGUGAAGAAGUAUCUCGGUAUGUAAAGCUCUAUCAGCAGGGAAGAAAAUGACGGUACCUGACUAAGAAGCCCCGGCUAACUACGUGCCAGCAGCCGCGGUAAUACGUAGGGGGCAAGCGUUAUCCGGAUUUACUGGGUGUAAAGGGAGCGCAGACGGCGAUGCAAGUCUGGAGUGAAAGCCCGGGGCUCAACCCCGGGACUGCUUUGGAAACUGUAUGGCUAGAGUGCUGGAGAGGCAAGCGGAAUUCCUAGUGUAGCGGUGAAAUGCGUAGAUAUUAGGAAGAACACCAGUGGCGAAGGCGGCUUGCUGGACAGUAACUGACGUUCAGGCUCGA